rnacentral:rRNA from 1 species
CGGUCUCUUCGGAGGCAGUGGCAGACGGGUGAGUAACGCGUGGGAAUCUACCUGGCUCUACGGAACAACUCAGGGAAACUUGAGCUAAUACCGUAUACGCCCUUCGGGGGAAAGAUUUAUCGGAGUUGGAUGAGCCCGCGUCUGAUUAGCUAGUUGGUGGGGUAAUGGCCUACCAAGGCGACGAUCAGUAGCUGGUCUGAGAGGAUGAUCAGCCACACUGGGACUGAGACACGGCCCAGACUCCUACGGGAGGCAGCAGUGGGGAAUAUUGGACAAUGGGCGCAAGCCUGAUCCAGCCAUGCCGCGUGAGUGAUGAAGGCCCUAGGGUUGUAAAGCUCUUUCACCGGUGAAGAUAAUGACGGUAGCCGGAGAAGAAGCCCCGGCUAACUUCAUGCCAGCAGCCGCGGUAAUACGAAGGGGGCUAGCGUUGUUCGGAAUUACUGGGCGUAAAGCGCGCGUAAGCGGAUUGGUCAGUUAGGGGUGAAAUCCCAGGGCUCAACCCUGGAACUGCCUCUAAUACUUCCAGUCUAGAGUUCGAGAGAGGUGAGUGGAAUUCCGAGUGUAGAGGUGAAAUUCGUAGAUAUUCGGAGGAACACCAGUGGCGAAGGCGG